rnacentral:misc_RNA from 1 species
GAUGAAGAACGCAGCGAAAUGCGAUAAGUAAUGUGAAUUGCAGAAUUCAGUGAAUCGUCGAAUCUUUGAACGCACAUUGCGCCCGCCAGUAUUCUGGCGGGCAUGCCUGUCCGAGCGUCAUUUCAACCCUCGAACCCCUCCGGGGGGUCGGCGUUGGGGAUCGGCCCUUUACGGGGCCGGCCCCGAAAUACAGUGGCGGUCUCGCCGCAGCCUCUCCUGCGCAGUAGUUUGCACACUCGCAUCGGGAGCGCGGCGCGUCCACAGCCGUUAAACACCCCAAACUUCUGAAAUGUUGACCUCGGAUCAGGUAGGAAUACCCGCUGAACUUAAGCAUAUCAAUAAGCGGAGGA